rnacentral:lncRNA from 1 species
UAACCCCUCCGAUUCAACUCCCCAAAACUAAAUCUCAGAUUUACAGGUUUUAAAGGUGCAACAAUGGCGAAAAUGACGGUGAUUAACCUCUGGCGACAUUUGCAAUUGAACCUCCGACGACUUGGCAAGCCAACUCUACGAAAGCCGGAUUGAUUAGUGGAAAUUUGUGCAGGAUGGAGUUGUCAUACGGAAUUGCCGGAUUAGUUUUGGCUUCACCGGAACAACAGAUUCGGUUCAUAAGAGGGUGGAGACUAAGGCGG